CUAAAAAUAUCGAAGAAAGAGUAGGCAGGAGUUCCAAAAGCUCCACUAGAUUAUUCCUACGAAUAUUUUUAGU
rnacentral:tRNA from 1 species